CCUUAUGACCUGGGCUACACACGUGCUACAAUGGACAGAACAAAGGGCAGCGAAACCGCGAGGUUAAGCCAAUCCCACAAAUCUGUUCUCAGUUCGGAUCGCAGUCUGCAACUCGACUGCGUGAAGCUGGAAUCGCUAGUAAUCGCGGAUCAGCAUGCCGCGGUGAAUACGUUCCCGGGCCUUGUACACACCGCCCGUCACACCACGAGAGUUUGUAACACCCGAAGUCGGUGAGGUAACCUUUUAGGAGCCAGCCGCCGAAGGUGGGACAGAUGAUUGGGGUGAAGUCGUAACAAGGUAGCCGUAUCGGAAGGUGCGGCUGGAUCACCUCCUUUCUAAGGA
rnacentral:rRNA from 1 species